CCUACGGGAGGCAGCAGUGGGGAAUUUUGGACAAUGGGCGAAAGCCUGAUCCAGCAAUGCCGCGUGAGUGAAGAAGGCCUUCGGGUUGUAAAGCUCUUUUGUCAGGGAAGAAACGGUGAAAGCUAAUAUCUUUUGCUAAUGACGGUACCUGAAGAAUAAGCACCGGCUAACUACGUGCCAGCAGCCGCGGUAAUACGUAGGGUGCAAGCGUUAAUCGGAAUUACUGGGCGUAAAGCGUGCGCAGGCGGUUUUGUAAGUCUGAUGUGAAAUCCCCGGGCUCAACCUGGGAAUUGCAUUGGAGACUGCAAGGCUAGAAUCUGGCAGAGGGGGGUAGAAUUCCACGUGUAGCAGUGAAAUGCGUAGAUAUGUGGAGGAACACCGAUGGCGAAGGCAGCCCCCUGGGUCAAGAUUGACGCUCAUGCACGAAAGCGUGGGGAGCAAACAGGAUUAGAUACCCUGGUAGUCCACGCCCUAAACCGAUGUCUACUAGUUGUCGGGUCUUAAUUGACUUGGUAACGCNGCGUACGCGUGAGUAGACCGCCGNGGGUAAGGUACGGUCGCGAGAGUUAAACGUUACGAAGAAGUUAGAGGNGNGAGAGNGCGACGGCGACGACGAGGGAGGAGG
rnacentral:rRNA from 1 species